AUCCAGUGCUAAGGGAACUCCAUCCACAGUCUUGAUAUUACUGUCUACAGGAAGGAGGCUGCCACACGUUUCAUACACAGGUGAUGGAGCAGAGGCACAAGUUGAUCAGAGAUGCUGCAGAGCCUCCCUCCUUGGAGAUCUUCAAAAGCCUCCCAGACAUGGUCCUGGGCAGCCACCUCCAGAGGUCCCUUCCCACUUCAGCCCUUCCAUGGUUCUGUGAAUUCUUGCUUGUGAUUUCUCCCAACAGUCUGCCUCUGACACUUUGGAGUACUUUCAAAAUUUGUGACGGGAGGAUCACACCCGGAUGACUCAUUCACAGAAGGAGUAUCUGUCCAUAAGGCCCCUUAAAUAUUUUUGUUAACAGACAUCGAAGGCUAUACAUAGUAAGCGCACAGUUAGUGGUACUUGCAGGAGGAAAUGGUAGUCUUGUGCAGACGUAUCUCUGCUCUGAUCUUCCUGUGAAGAGUGGGUUGGAGCCUUUCAGUCUGUAUCCAUGCGUGUAUGCUUUUUUUAUUUGAAUUUUUUAGAAUCUUUAUUAUGUGUAAUCUCAGGAGAUUUGCAGAUACCAAAAAGGCUUGUGUCAAAUAAAUCAACUAGCAUGUAAAACAUGAGUAUAUACCUUCUCAUAGAAAAUUUUAAUUUUUCCUCUUUCAAGAAUAAC